rnacentral:rRNA from 1 species
GACGAACCGUGCGAACGUUGUUCGGAAUCACUGGGCUUAAAGGGCGCGUAGGCGGGUGUGCAAGUCUGUGGUGAAAGCCUCCAGCUUAACUGGAGAAGUGCCGUGGAUACUGCACAUCUUGAGGAGGGUAGGGGCAUCUGGAACGGUCGGUGGAGCGGUGAAAUGCGUUGAUAUCGACCGGAACUCCGGUGGCGAAGGCGAGGUGCUGGACCCCUUCUGACGCUGAGGCGCGAAAGCCAGGGGAGCAAACGGG